GNGCCCAANANNCCGCGGGUAAUANGUNAGGUGGCAAAGCGUUNUCCCGGAAAUUUCCUGGGUNUAAAAGGGAGNGGCANGCGGGAACUGCAAGUUUGGGUGUUUAAUUCUACGGGCUUCAAACCNNNNUCAGCAUUCAAAAACUGNUGGUUUCUUGAAGUAAAUGCAGAGGUAGGCGGAAAUUCCCGGUGUAGCGGGUGGAAUGCGUAGAUAUCGGGAGGAACACCAGNGGNGAAGGCGGCCUACUGGGNCAUCAACUGACGCUGAGGCUCGAAAGCAUGGGUAGCAAAACAGGAUUAGAUACCCNUGGGUAGUCCAUGCUGUAAACGAUGAUUACUAGGUGUGGGGAGAUUGACCCUCUCCGUGCCGCAGUUAACACAAUAAGUAAUCCACCUGGGGAGUACGACCGCAAGGUUGAAACUCAAAGGAAUUGACGGGGGCCCGCACAAGCAGUGGAGUAUGUGGUUUAAUUCGAAGCAACGCGAAAAACCUUACCAGGUCUUGACAUCCAACGACCGCCUAAGAGAUUAGGCUUUCCUUCGGGACGUUGAGACAGGUGGUGCAUGGUUGUCGUCAGNNNNNGUCGUGAGAUGUUGGGUUAAGUCCCGCAACGAGCGCAACCCUUAUUACUAGUUACUACGCAAGAGGACUCUAGUGAGACUGCCGUUGACAAAACGGAGGAAGGUGGGGAUGACGUCAAAUCAUCAUGCCCUUUAUGACCUGGGCUACACACGUACUACAAUGGCUAUUAACAGAGAGAAGCGAGACCGCAAGGUGGAGCAAACCUCAGAAAAAUAGUCUCAGUUCGGAUUGGGGGCUGCAACCCGCCCCCAUGAAGCCGGAAUUGCUAGUAAUCGCGGAUCAGCAUGCCGCGGUGAAUACGUUCCCGGGCCUUGUACACACCGCCCGUCACACCAUGAGAGCCGGGGGGACCCGAAGUCGGUAGUCUAACCGCAAGGAGGACGCCGCCGAAGGUAAAACUGGUGAUUGGGGUG
rnacentral:rRNA from 1 species